rnacentral:rRNA from 1 species
AUCAACUUUCGAUGGUAGGAUAGAGGCCUACCAUGGUGGUAACGGGUAACGGGGUGUUAGGGCACGACACCGGAGAGGGAGCCUGAGAAACGGCUACCACAUCCAAGGAUGGCAGCAGGCGCGCAAAUUACCCAGUCCCGACACGGGGAGGUAGUGACAAUAAAUAACAAUACGGGGUUCUUUCGGAUUUCGUAAUUGGAAUGAGUACAAUUUAAAUCUCUUAACGAGGAACAAUUGGAGGGCAAGUCUGGUGCCAGCAGCCGCGGUAAUUCCAGCUCCAAUAGCGUAUAUUAAAGUUGUUGCAGUUAAAAAGCUCGUAGUUGAAUUUCGGGAUCAAUAUGUCGGUCGUGCUUCGGUACGUACUGGCGUUAUUGAUUUCUCCCUUCUGAAGAACCGCGAUGUUAUUAAUUUGGUGUCGUGGGGAAUCAGGACUGUUACUUUGAAAAAAUUAGAGUGUUUAAAGCAGGCUCGCGCUUGAAUACAUUAGCAUGGAAUAAUGAAAUAGGACGUUUGAUUCUAUUUUGUUGGUUUCUAGGAUCGACGUAAUGAUUAAUAGGGAUAGUUGGGGGCAUUAGUAUUCAAUUGUCAGAGGUGAAAUUCUUGGAUUUAUUGAAGACUAACUACUGCGAAAGCAUUUGCCAAGGAUGUUUUCAUUAAUCAAGAACGAAAGUUAGGGGAUCGAAGACGAUCAGAUACCGUCGUAGUCUUAACCAUAAACUAUGCCGACUAGGGAUCGGAUGAUGUUAAUUUUUUAAUGACUCAUUCGGCGCCUUACGGGAAACCAAAGUGUUUGGGUUC